CGGCGCAGCUACUCUGCAGUCGAGCGGAUGGAUGGAAAUCUUGCUUCUAUGAGGGGGCGGGGGGAGGGUGAGUACCACGUGGGCAACUGGCCGGGAGGACGGGGAUAACUCCGGGAAACCUGAGCUAAUACCGAUAACAUUUUUUCUUGCAUAGAAGAAAAUUGAAAAAUGGUUUCGGUUAUCACUUACAGAUGGGCCCGCGGUGCAUUACCUAGUUGGUGAGGUACCGGCUCACCAAGGCAACGAUGCAUAGCCAACCUGAGAGGGUGACGGCCCCACUGGCACUGACCCACGGCCCAGACUCCUACGGGAGGCAGCAUUAGGGAAUCUUCCCCAAUGGACGAAAUUCUGACGGAGCAACGCCGCGUGAGUGAUGAAGGCUUUCGGGUCGUAAAACUCUGUUGUUAGGGAAAAACAAUUACAAGAGUAACUGCUUGUACCUUGACGGUACCUAACCAGAAAGCCACGGCUAACUACGUGCCAGCAGCCGCGGUAAUACGUAGGUGGCAAGCGUUUUCCGGAAUUAUUGGGCGUAAGGCCCGCCCAGGCGGUUUCUAAAUUCGAAUGUGAAACCCCCCGGUUCACCCGUGGAGGGUCAUGGAAAACUGGGGAAUUUGAGGGCAAAAA
rnacentral:rRNA from 1 species